rnacentral:lncRNA from 1 species
CCAGGCUCACAACCCAGCACACCAUAACAGUGCAGGUGUCCGACAUCAACGACAACGCCCCGGCCUUCACCCAAACCUCCUACACCAUGUUUGUCCACGAGAACAACAGCCCCGCCCUGCACAUAGGCACCAUCAGCGCCACAGACUCAGACUCAGGCUCCAAUGCCCACAUCACCUACUCGCUGAUGCCGCCUCGAGACCCACAGCUGGCCCUCGACUCGCUCAUCUCCAUCAAUGCUGACAACGGGCAGCUGUUCGCGCUCAGGGCGCUGGACUAUGAAGCGCUGCAGGCCUUCGAGUUCCGCGUGGGUGCCACAGACCGAGGCUCACCCGCGCUCAGCAGUCAGGCACUGGUGCGCGUGGUGGUGCUGGACGACAAUGACAAUGCGCCCUUCGUGCUCUACCCGCUGCAGAACGCCUCAGCGCCCUACACAGAGCUGCUGCCCAGGGCGGCAGAGCCUGGAUACCUGGUUACCAAGGUGGUAGCUGUGGACCGCGACUCUGGCCAGAAUGCCUGGCUGUCAUUCCAGCUGCUCAAGGCCACGGAGCCCGGGCUAUUUAGUGUGUGGGCGCACAAUGGUGAGGUGCGCACCACUAGGUUGCUGAGCGAGCGU